ACCCUCUCAGGGUUGCACCUGCAGAGUUUCCAGCAAUCUAUCAGUCCCAACCACGGGAGGGAGAGUCAAGCAGAGGCAUAUCCAUUCCAUUCCUAGUAUGGCCAAUGGCUAGCGAGUGGAAGGCAAUCUGCUACAAAU